CUCACCGUCUCGCUGCAUCUGAGGUCUUUCCCUCUGUUUUAUCCUAUAAUUGUUCUCUCUCUCUCGAUAUUUAUCUAGAGUAUAGUGAGUGAUGGGCAUGUGCUUUUUGUCAAAACUCAUGUUUAGUUGGAUUUUUAAUUUUGGGGUUUAUUGAUUAGGUGUUUUGUGCAAUUAGAUGACAUAGAUAUUGCAUAAAGUGAUAGCAGAUAUCUUUGAUUAGUAAAGCUGAUUGUAUUGUUUGAUUUGUGUUGUACAACCCAUGUAGUAGUUCUUGCUAUGCACUUGUAUGGUCUGUGGCGGAGGGAGGACAGUUUUGGCUACCAAACAUUUGGUAAAAUUUUUUUAAUUGAGGUUUAAAAACAGAGGCAGGGCGAUAAUAAGAAACUAUUUUACUUUUAUCUGUAAAGACAAAGCUGUUUUUUUAACACUCAUGUAAAAUUUGGAUUUUCCAUAACAAUGAGUGCAGAUUUGGGUCUGUACCAGUUUAUCUUAGUUAUGGAUGAGCUAAUCAGUCAUAUUCAUAUUCGAGGUGAUAUCCUAUUGUGCGUAUUAUUUGCAGAUGAUGUUAUUUUAUUAGAUGAACCUAGGGGAGGAGUUAAUCAAAAGUUAGAGUUUUGGAGAAUGACUAUUAAAAGUAAGGGUUGUAGACUAAGUAGAUAUAAGAUUAAAUAUAUGGAUUGCGAGUUUAGCACUUAGUAAAAGGAAGGAAUGGAGGGAAGGUUCAAUUGGAUAUAGCUUUAGGCUCUGUUUGUUUUACAAAAAGUAUUUUUGUAUUUUCUAGCGUUUUGGGCAUUCAGGAAG
rnacentral:misc_RNA from 1 species